ACUGACCUGCACCCACUGUCUGGCGAGAUGAACCCGGUACCUCAGAUGGAAAUGCAGAAAUCACCGUCUUCUGCGUCGCUCACGCUGGGAGCUGUAGACCGGAGCUGUUCCUAUUCGGCCAUCUUGGCUCCUCUCCUCAGCGGAAUCUAGUUUGUUCCCAAGUUACCAUAUCUCAGAGGCAUAUAAUGCUGUCCAAUUCUCUUGAAAACAAAAAUAAUUCAAGCUCCAAUAAUAAAGAUUUUUCUGCUUUGUUCUUCUGAGUCCCUUGUGCUGAGAAAACUCAUCUAGCAUAUGGGUUUUGACUCUUGGGUCUGAAAAAGGCAGCGAUCCCUGCUAAAUUCUGAACACUGACAUUAGUCGUCAGCCUUGGAAGAAGCAACAAUCACAACGAUCUGCUUUUUAAUGAGGCAAAGGACCAGAAAUUAAGACUAUU
rnacentral:lncRNA from 1 species